rnacentral:lncRNA from 1 species
UUGUAAUAAACUUUUUAAUGCUAUUAUAAUGUAAAUUACAUUUCAUACCAGCAGAAUCCAUAUAUGACAAAAUAACAUGUGAACUUAAUCAAGCUUUGAACUUUUUUCUAUUAGAGUUGUACUACCUAUAAAAUUAUAUCUAUUUUUUUCUUUCACAACUGGUACAUUAUGAAUGUAAAAUAAACUAAGAUUUUAUUAAAGCCUACAAUUAUUAUAUCUAUUUAAAGUACUAAAAAACCAAUAAUACAUAUUUUUAUUUGGUGUUAUUUUAAAUAUUCUCAGCAAAAUUAAAGUGAAGAAGUAGAAAUAAAAUCUCAAUAUUUUAAAAAUGAGAAUGAUUAAGUAUUAUUUGAUGUUAGUUUGAAAAUUUGUAAGGAGUAGUCAAUAAUUAAUAAUAGAAAUCAAAUCACUUUAUAAAGUAACUUUUUACUCCACAUUUAAAACUUUAUUUAUAUUUAUUAUUUUUACAGUAUCCUUGAUAAUUCUAUAGACAUAGAUAUUACCAACUACAUUUAAGUAUGAAAGGUUAAAAUGACCUUACUAGUAUCACAACAUUAAGGGUGAAGCUAAAAUUAAUAGCACAGGUUUUCUGCUUUCCCAACCAAUAACUUAGCUGAUUGAUUCAGCUAUUUUUUAAAGGCAGUAUUUUUCAAAGGCAGUAAGUUUCAUGAUUAGUAACAGUGCUUUUGCCGAUUUGUUUUAAAGAAAUGUGUGUCUUCUACCUUCUGUAUUUUGUUUUUGUUUAACUUUUGGAGAUCUAUUCAAUUGCAUUGAAUUUAGUUUUGAAGUUUUCCAAGAAUAUUUAUUUGUUAUUAUUUACAUGGUCUUUUCUUCUAUAACCAUAAUAAUUUACUAAAAGUUUAUUAGAAUUAGUAUUAAUAUUAAUAUGUUGUUAGAAAUUAAUACAGUCCAGAAGAAUACUUAUGUAAGGAAAUUAUAUUUUUAUUUAAUAACAGUUUAAGAAAAAUUAACAAGUUAGCCAAUUUAUAAAACCAAAAACUGUAUUUUCAGCUUCUAAUUAGGCUACAAGGAGAUGUCCGAUAUUUGAGGUUUCUCUUCAUGUGAAAGAUACAUGAGAUGAAAUUAAAUUGGCUAGUCUUUGAAAGGAUUCUAAGUUUUUUCUGAUUUUCAAAUCUAAUAUUUAGAAGUAAAAUGGUAAUUCAUUCAAGUCAACAGUGGAGGUAAAAACAUAACCCGCUUUCCCUUGAAUCAAAAGAUGUUUACAAUAGCAUGCUUGCUGCUGCAGAGUCUUUUGUGGUUGCCACUAAUUACAUGUUUUUCACAUCAAAGUCUUCAAAAGGAAUAUAGGUACAAAUUGACUCAAUAAAUAUUUAUUGGGUAAAGGAAUUCAAGAAGGUUUCUGGGUAUGGAAAAAAUAUAUAUAAAAUACUAGUGAGAUCUUUGUUAGAGAUUUUCUACUUUGGCUGAAUACAGAGCAGCCUGUCUCCCUAUAUUACUGGAUCUUAUCUUGAAAUUAUAGGCACCAAGCAAAUGAUACUAUAGGGAAUGUGUAGCACUAACAUUUUAAUUAAAAUACAAAAUGAUAAUCUGCAUCGGGGUACAGCUAAGCAUUUUAUGAGUUCCAAUUAUAUUAGUAAUAACAUUUUCAUUUGAUAACUAGAUAACUGGGUAAUUAAAAACAUGUAAUUAAAGCAAAGUCAAAUCCUAAUUUAUAAAGCCAAUGGAAACAAAAGAGCAUAGUAAAACCCCAUUAAAAAGUAGUUGCUACACCAUUAUGAAUGAGAUACAUUUUUAUCAAUAUCUUAUAAAGCAAAUAGAUGUUGAAUCCUGCCAUAUGCUUAUGUAUUAAAAUACUAGAAGACCAUAUGAUAAAGUAAGUCCCAAAUCAUAAACACAAUACAAAAUCCCCAUGAGUUUUUUUUUGCCAGUCCAAAGCCAUUGUGAAUAGGCAUAGGAUGAAGCACAAUGUUGGAAGAUGAUGAAGAAUCACGAUACAAAGCUUUAAAGAUUGAGGUCAGAAUCUAGCUUAGUAACUCAGAAACAAUUAAUUGCACAGUGCAGGUAUAUUAUAUUUUUGUUACCUGCAUUGUUACUGCAUUUCUCAUCAGAUGAAAGUAGGCAGAAUCAUUUAAAUGUAGUCCAAUUUAGAGCCCAGUAUGAAGGGUGGUGGGGAUGAAGGUACCAUGGUUUUUGAGAGAGGAAAGGCCCAAAUGUGCAUUAACAAUCAUGAAGAAAGGGACUGGUUCAAGCAGGAGCCUUUAUCCAGGAGUUCAAGGACAGAUGGGAAUUGGAUUUUGUCUGGUGGACUUGAUUGGCAAGGGUCGAAGAAGGCUGCUUAGCUGAGAAAACAGCACAUGGCCUAAUUAUAUCCACAACACAGGGAUUUUUCAGUCCUCUCUUUAAAAAUGAACUCUUCCUUGCAUCUAUGAAGCAAUGUGAAUCCUAUCAUUAACACUUCCUUCUUUGUUGCUGACAAAAAUUAACUCCUAAACCCACCAACAGAGCUUGAAAUGUCACAGUUCCCUUUAGAGUGACACAGACCUCUUCCUCCUCCUGGCAAAAUCUUCUGCAUGAAUGAAGGUGGAGAGAGCCUUAGUGAGGUGACUAUCUGAUGUCUCAGUGCUACUCCCAAAGUCAUAGUUUUUCAGGCAAGGGCACAAGCAGUGGACAAUGGCCCGGAACUUGAAAGUAUUGAAGGGCAGCCAGGAGACAAGAAAGGCUGC